rnacentral:rRNA from 1 species
GACGAACGCUGGCGGCGUGCUUAACACAUGCAAGUCGAACGGAAAGGCCCUGCUUUUGUGGGGUGCUCGAGUGGCGAACGGGUGAGUAACACGUGAGUAACCUGCCCUUGACUUUGGGAUAACUUCAGGAAACUGGGGCUAAUACCGGAUAGGAGCUCCUGCUGCAUGGUGGGGGUUGGAAAGUUUCGGCGGUUGGGGAUGGACUCGCGGCUUAUCAGCUUGUUGGUGGGGUAGUGGCUUACCAAGGCUUUGACGGGUAGCCGGCCUGAGAGGGUGACCGGCCAAAUUGGGAAUGAGAUACGGGCCAGACUUCUACGGGAGGCAGCAGUGGGGAAUAUUGCACAAUGGGCGGAAGCCUGAUGCAGCAACGCCGCGUGCGGGAUGACGGCCUUCGGGUUGUAAACCGCUUUCGCCUGUGACGAAGCGUGAGUGACGGUAAUGGGUAAAGAAGCACCGGCUAACUACGUG